CGGGGUGAGUAAUGUCUGGGAAACUGCCUGAUGGAGGGGGGUAACUACUGGAAACGGUAGCUAAUACCGCAUAACGUCGCAAGAUCAAAGAGGGGGCCUUCGGGCCUCUUGCCAUCGGAUGUGCCCAGAUGGGAUUAGCUAGUAGGUGGGGUAACGGCUCACCUAGGCGACGAUCCCUAGCUGGUCUGAGAGGAUGACCAGCCACACUGGAACUGAGACACGGUCCAG
rnacentral:rRNA from 1 species